UUGGGAUAGUUGAUUAUACCAAUUAUGAUGAUAUGAAAUAUGCUAUCAGGAAACUUGAUGACUCAGAAUUCCGCAAUGCCUUUUCUCGUGCUUUCAUACGGGUGAGGGAAUAUGAUUGAGGUUAUUCUAGAAGUC